GUUAACAGCGCUACUAAACCUUCAUCACGGGGUACAGGGGAGAGUUUCUUGUCUGGUGAUUCUGGGAUCCGUCACCAGCAGAGGCACCCACUAGACAGAGAACCAAGAUGGAGGAAGGUUAAAGUGUACGACUACCCGACAGCCCGAAAAAUAACCGCCUGAGGCAUUGGAAGAAGCUUCAAGGACUCACAACGCAUGUCACUAUGGCAAGUUCAAACUCGACUAUACAGACUGUCCAAGCUCGUAUAUGACGGCGUCGGUGGCAACCGGUGAAACACCGCCGACCCGUAGGAGGCGAGACUUACUUUCUGCGCUGUCUCCAUCACUGCCUAAAGUGGACCCGAACCCUUGGACCCGACGGGAACCGGACACGGAGUUAACCGAAGCCCGACGUUAACCGGACCUGAAUUAUGGGUCCGAGUCAUGUGAUGCAAGUUUGAAACAUAAUUUUGUGUGUAUCAGUGAUGAGAGAACCUGGCAAAGGACACCACU